rnacentral:rRNA from 1 species
CGCGUAGGCCGUUGAGUUAGUUAAUUGUGAAAUCCCAAAGCUUAACUUUGGAACUGCAAUUAAAACUGCUCGACUAGAGUUUGAUAGAGGAAAGCGGAAUACAUAGUGUAGAGGUGAAAUUCGUAGAUAUUAUGUAGAACACCAGUUGCGAAGGCGGCUUUCUGGAUCAACACUGACGCUGAGGGGCGAAAGUAUGGGUAGCAAAGA